rnacentral:rRNA from 1 species
UACAGAGGCCUCGAGCGUUAGGCGGAAUCACUGGGCUUAAAGCGUGUGUAGGCGGACUUCUAAGUACCUUGUGAAAUCCCACGGCUCACCCGUGGAACUGCUUGGUAUACUGGUUGUCUUGAGCCUUCUAGGGGCGAGUGGAACAAAUGGUGGAGCGGUGAAAUGCGUAGAUAUUGGGAAGAACACCGGUGGCGAAGGCGGCUCACUGGCUCAUUUCUGACGCUCAGGCGCGACAGCGUGGGGAUCAAACAGG